rnacentral:rRNA from 1 species
UGCGUAGGUGGUUGCGUUAGUAAGGUGUGAAAGCCCUCGGCUUACCCGGGGAAUUGCGCCUUAUACUGCGUGACUUGAGGACCAUAGGGGAAGGGGGAACUCCAGGUGUAGCGGUGAAAUGCGCAGAUAUCUGGGGGAAGGCCGGCGGCGAAGGCGCCCUUCUGGAUGGUUCCUGACACUGAGGCACGAAAGCGUGGGGAGCAAACA